rnacentral:misc_RNA from 1 species
AAGUCGUAACAAGGUUUCCGUAGGUGAACCUGCGGAAGGAUCAUUAACACGUAUCCAACGUUAAACCCCCCCGUGAAUAUUAAGCGUGCUCUUACAUCCUUGCACAACAGCAAUCUCUGGUAAAUCAUGUCGAACGGUUUGAUUCAGAGACCUCUGGCUUGUGCGAUGACGGCGGAAGCUAAAGGUGUAAUCGAGCGCUAGGUUCAGUGGUUUGGUCUUCCCCUCAAACCACUUCAAUGAAUGUCAGUGUCAUUGAAGUGUGAUGGGGAAGUCGCUUAACGACGCUGUAGGCUCACACGAGCCAGGCCCUUCUGUCGUGGUUGGGCGUAAAAACGAACAACUGUUAACAAUGGAUAUCUUGGUUCUC